GACGAACGCUGGCGGCGUGCUUAACACAUGCAAGUCGAACGGUGAAGCGCCUUCCUUUUUGGUGGGUGUGGAUGAGUGGCGAACGGGUGAGUAACACGUGAGUAACCUGCCCCCUUCUUCUGGAUAACCGCAUGAAAGUGUGGCUAAUACGGGAUAUUCUGGGUCUGUCGCAUGAUGGGUCUGGGAAAGAUAUUGUUUCGGUGGGGGAUGGGCUCGCGGCCUAUCAGCUUGUUGGUGGGGUGAUGGCCUACCAAGGCGGUGACGGGUAGCCGGCCUGAGGGGGUGGACGGUCACACUGGGACAGAGACCCGGCCCAGACUCCUACGGGGGGCAGCAGUGGGGAAUAUUGCACAAUGGGCGAAAGCCUGAUGCAGCGACGCCGCGUGAGGGAUGGAGGCCUUCGGGUUGUGAACCUCUUUCGCCAGUGAAGCAGGCCUGCCUCGUUUGUGGGUGGGUUGACGGUAGCUGGAUAAGAAGCGCCGGCUAACUACGUG
rnacentral:rRNA from 1 species